rnacentral:rRNA from 1 species
GAUGAACGCUGGCGGCGUGCCUAAUACAUGCAAGUCGAGCGAACGGACGAGAAGCUUGCUUCUCUGAUGUUAGCGGCGGACGGGUGAGUAACACGUGGAUAACCUACCUAUAAGACUGGGAUAACUUCGGGAAACCGGAGCUAAUACCGGAUGAUAUUUUGAACCGCAUGGUUCAAAAGUGAAAGACGGUCUUGCUGUCACUUAUAGAUGGAUCCGCGCUGCAUUAGCUAGUUGGUAAGGUAACGGCUUACCAAGGCAACGAUGCAUAGCCGACCUGAGAGGGUGAUCGGCCACACUGGAACUGAGACACGGUCCAGACUCCUACGGGAGGCAGCAGUAGGGAAUCUUCCGCAAUGGGCGAAAGCCUGACGGAGCAACGCCGCGUGAGUGAUGAAGGUCUUCGGAUCGUANAACUCUGUUAUUAGGGAAGAACAUAUGUGUAAGUAACUGUGCACAUCUUGACGGUACCUAAUCAGAAAGCCACGGCUAACUACGUGCCAGCAGCCGCGGUAAUACGUANGUGGCAAGCGUUAUCCGGAUUAUUGGGCGUAAGCGCGCGUAGGCGGUUUUUUAGUCUGAUGUGAAAGCCCACGGCUCAACCGUGGAGGGUCAUUGGAAACUGGAAAACUUGAGUGCAGAAGAGGAAAGUGGAAUUCCAUGUGUAGCGGUGAAAUGCGCAGAGAUAUGGAGGAACACCAGUGGCGAAGGCGACUUUCUGGUCUGUAACUGACGCUGAUGUGCGAAAGCGUGGGGAUCAAACAGGAUUAGAUACCCUGGUAGUCCACGCCGUAAACGAUGAGUGCUAAGUGUUAGGGGGUUUCCGCCCCUUAGUGCUGCAGCUAACGCAUUAAGCACUCCGCCUGGGGAGUACGACCGCAAGGUUGAAACUCAAAGGAAUUGACGGGGGACCCGCACAAGCGGUGGAGCAUGUGGUUUAAUUCGAAGCAACGCGAAGAACCUUACCAAAUCUUGACAUCCUUUGACAACUCUAGAGAUAGAGCCUUCCCCUUCGGGGGACAAAGUGACAGGUGGUGCAUGGUUGUCGUCAGCUCGUGUCGUGAGAUGUUGGGUUAAGUCCCGCAACGAGCGCAACCCUUAAGCUUAGUUGCCAUCAUUAAGUUGGGCACUCUAAGUUGACUGCCGGUGACAAACCGGAGGAAGGUGGGGAUGACGUCAAAUCAUCAUGCCCCUUAUGAUUUGGGCUACACACGUGCUACAAUGGACAAUACAAAGGGCAGCGAAACCGCGAGGUCAAGCAAAUCCCAUAAAGUUGUUCUCAGUUCGGAUUGUAGUCUGCAACUCGACUACAUGAAGCUGGAAUCGCUAGUAAUCGUAGAUCAGCAUGCUACGGUGAAUACGUUCCCGGGUCU